AAAAGCACAAGAACAUACCAGGAUAAAAUAUAAAUCAUACUGAAGUAAGUGUACUGAAUCUGAUCUUAACAGCAGAGGAAUUACACCUUUAAUGAGUUGAUGUUGUACUUUAAGGCUAGCCUCAAGUUCUGUGACAUUGUUCCGUUCACUGUCGACUCCUCGUUGGAGUAGGGGGUGGGGAGUAAGUUAUUUUGUGUUGGAGUCAAACUAUUUUUUUAUAUACUGGUUAUAGAAAAAAAAUCCCAGAAAUACCCAUAUUAAUAUGACUAAUAGAAACUGACCUUACAUAUCAGUUUCUCUAGAAAGAAAAAGGCUUCUUAUGUUUAGUCCAGACUGAAGAUGAAUUCUAUUUUGUUACUGUAUUAUUCAUUAUGACACAUGUGGCAACUUACCCAAACAAAAUUCAGCUUUUUUUCAAUUUAAAAUGUUUUGCAAAGAUGUGGAAUAAUGUGUGUAUAUGCAUGUAGUUUUAGUUACUGCAGGGCUCAGUAGAAUUCCCCUACAACACACAGGCAGAAGGCAGUUCUUUGUUUCCAGUCUGAUAAUGUUCUCACUCCUGCAAUUUUACUUGUAAAUGAAAACAACUGAAAAAAUAUAUUUUGGGAAGAAAGAAAACAGAUGGGGUGGGGGCGGGGAUGGGGCAUAUAAUGGAUAAUAUAUGUGUGUUAGAAAAAUGCAGAAAAUCAAGAAAAGACCAAAGAAAAACAGAGGCAAAUGUGGCCUCUUAAAGUCAUCUAGGCCAGCAGUUAGUAUUUACUGUACAUGAUGCGAUGGACUGGCCGUUUUAAAUUGAAGAGGAAAGUGUAAUUAACUGUUGGUCAAUGUAAAUAUAUUUAAAACGUAAUAGUCGUAAAGCAAAUGUGUCUUUGCUUUACUUUCCCGGUAUGGCUGAGGAAUGUUUGUGUCUACUCCCAGAGUGACUCACUGGCAUUAAAGAACACCUGAGUUACAGUAAGUCUGUCAGUAUUUGGCUGCUGCGACGCAGUGAACAGUUGUCAAAGACCAUGGCUAAUUUGUGUAUUGACAAUAGUCACUGCCUUUUAUAUGUUCACUGUGUAUCUGUUAUUAUAGCAGCUGUUUUGUUAUCCCUAAUUCCAUAAUUAUUCCCAAGGCAACCUCUACCUUUUAUUUAUGAGAAACCUUUUAAAGAUGCCAAAGAGGUUCAUCUUUCCGUGACAAACCACUUUGGCUAGUAAUUGCUGCAAAGGAUGUUUAUUGCAGUGCGUGGUUGACGGCAUUUGAAAACAGCAAUAAUAAUUCUGAGUUGACUCUAAGUAUUGAACCAAAUAAAGCUGAAAAUGAGACAUAAUGGUUUCUUUAUAUAAUAAGUAGAAUCAUAUAUCAAGCUAUCCACACUGAUCUCAGUUGAGAGGUUUUACAUUUGUGAGUGAUUGUUUUUGUGCGAAGGUUGGGGGUAGGGUGAAGUUAUAUUUGGUGGAAAGAAGUUCAAUAAUGAGAGCAUUAAGCAACUAUGGUAGGGGGUGAGCUGGGUGUGCGUGCAUGCAUGCUGUGUGUAUGCUGGGGGUAGGAGUGCUGGGGUUUGGGGGGUUGCUGCCUAAUCCCUGAGGAAAAUGUGGAAGAAAUUAAUCUAAAUUACAAGGAUGAAGCUAGUCUGGAGUCUGGGACUGGAAGAGCUACAGAGGAAAGGCGGGUGAGAGGGAGGGAAGAGGGGGACCAACUCUUUCUUUUUUUGUUUUUUUGGUUGAUGUUUUCUUGUUAUUUUUUUUUCCUUUUUUCCCCCUCAUCCUGUGGGAAUGAGGUGGUCUGUCUUCCUUCCUCUUUGGCUUGCCACGCAGAUGCCCCUCCUUCGCUUGCUCAUGAAUGGGCCUCUUUCCAAUUAGUUAGCAUUGUAGCCACUGCCAGUGUGGACAAGAUUGUAGAGACCCCUCAGUCCCUGUUCUCAUCCUGGUGCUCUCUUCUCACAGACAACAGAUGUUUUGGUUUCUCGGGGAAUACGUGAUUCUUUGCUGGCUUCUCCUAGUGUCAACAGCAAAAUGAAGAUACUUUGCAAUUCUUUUCAACCUGCCACAUCUCAGUACUCUCAGAGAGUGGAGAAGAAUUAGCUGUAGAAGAGACCUUGAUGGUCUCCCACAAUUUUAUAUAAGCUAAUUCGUAUAAAGAGUCCACCACCAGUAAAAAGCCCUUACUUCUUCCUCAUUUACUCGCACACAAAAACAGAUAAAUUAACACAGGAUGGUUGCCGCCACUCAUCUAUUUAAUGAAAAGCAUCUGCCGUCUCCCCUUGCUAACCAACAUACAGGCAAAUCUUGUUCACCUAGGUCUGAGUGCAGUAAUCAGAACAAGCUGUUUGGUCAACAAACAAACCUGUAAACACAAAACGUACCAAAGUUUAUGCAUAGUACUGUUUACCAGUUUACCAGAAUCAAAAUUCAUGACCACAGGGGGUAUCGCAACAGGAGAUAAGUAGUCUUAUUAGUUGCUCAGAUGCUUCUUUCUCAAACAUUUUUGUGCAGUCCAUUAAGUCUACUGUGAAUCAAUAGAAAACAGAAAAAAAUCCCAUGAAGCAACAUUUGCUGCUUAUUGUUGUUACCAUUAAUGGGAUUAUGGCUUAGCAGGGAUUAUUGAUUUGUCUCCGUCUCGCUGCUCAGUUCUUCAUUGUCACUGACAUGCACAUGGCUGAUUCCCGAGCCCAGAAUGAAGUCUGAGAACGCAUGGCUGAAAUAAAGGAUAAGGCCGCAGUAAUGGUCACGUUCUCUUCACUGUUCAUGACGUCUACGUGGCAUCUACAGCGCUCUCACGGUGCUUCACCCAAAGUGUCAUUCAGCCAUCUGCUCUCUCUGCUCUACCACCACUGCUAUCUAGACUUCAGGUUUUCCCGUCACUACCUUCCACUCCCAAAUAUACUUCCAAAUGUGAAGAAAAUAAUGUAUUUAUCUUACAUUAAACAACAGACAAUAGUUUUGUUUGUUUAUUUUUGUUAGUAGCUGAUGAAUUAUACAAAGAAAAUGCCAAAAGACAAUGGAGUUUAAAAGUGCUGUACUCUUAGAGUUGACUGGCCCUAUUCUUGUCUGAGAAAUUUUACUGGUUUACAAUGUUCAGUGAUAUUUUCAUUGGGAGCUCCAACAGUCUUCCAGGUUUGAUUGGUUUAAAAAAUUGUUUGUGGGGCUGCAUUUUGUAAAAAGUAAAGGGUAAACUUUGCAGAUGCUUGCAGGUUGCAGUUAAAUUUAUUUAUAAUAAUAACUAAUACUUUGAGCGUAAAUGAGCAUAUUUUAUGUGUAUUAAUGUAUUUAUUUCUAUAUUUUGUAAUACUUCACAGGCUCUGGCAUCUGUCAUGCUAGUAAUGACAAACUCUUCUGUCAUCAAAACUGAAUUUAGGCCCAUUCACAUUAUAAUUCUUCAGUCAGUUGGGGAUGAUCAUGGCUAAUCAGUUGAUACAGUUUUUGUUUGUUAUCGUUUUAUUUUUUAAAAACAUUUAAAGAUUGACAAGUUUGAGUCUAUUGUUAUCAUUUUAGUAUAAUAUACCUUUGCGAACAUAUUAAUUUGCUGCACAUGUUAG
ensembl:lncRNA